AGAAGAGUUCCAACCAACCUACCCCACCCUAUAAACGACCAACUUAAACUAAAAGUCUUACCACUUCAAAAAAGUACCUAAAGGGAAAUCUGAAAUAUAGUUAAAAAUAAAACAAGGAAAGGAGAAAACCCGUGCCUUCUGCAUCAUGACUUAACGAGAUAACAAAGAAAAAUUUCUAAUACCCGAAAGGUAACGAGCUAAUCUUACCCACCCAAAGAGUUAUACCCUUACUGUUGCAAUAGUAAGAGAAGAGGAGAGAUUAGAGGUUAUAUGCCUACCGCGCUACCUGAUAGCUGGUUUUCAGGGAAAGAGGUAUAAGCCUCUCUAUCAAAAAGACAACCCUUCAUUCCAUAAAAGAAAGAACACCUUAAAAAUAGAAAGAAAGCAGAAGACAAGUUCUGCUUUCAAGAGGGAGACAACCCAGAGUGUAAAAAAGACCAUAUAGAAAAAGGGAAGAAAAGCAAAGUAGGCCUAAAAGCUGCCAGCAUAAAAGAAAGCGUUAAAGCUCGGAAAACUUCCCCCAAAAAUAUUUGAAAAACGAUCUCUUUUCACUAAAAGUACCUGAACAAGAUAAUGUUAAGAUAAGUAAAAAGAAACCCCUCCCCUCCUCCUACAAGGAAAUUUAAACGCCAAAACCAAGGACAGUUAAAACCAAGAUAACUGAAAAGAACAUCCUAACAACCCAGUUUUGAGAGAGGAAGGAGAAACAGAGAGGAAGGAACUCGGCAAAUCGGAAAAAGGACUGUUUACCAAAAACAUAGCCCUUUGGAAAAAUAAAGGGUCACGCCUGCCCAGUGGCUUUAGCUAAACGGCCGCGGUAUCUUGACCGUGCAAAGGUAGCAUAAUCAUUUGUCUUUUAAAUGGAGACUUGUAUGAACGGCAAAACCUUUUUCAACUGUCUCCCUCUCUAACCUUACAAAUUUCUACCUUUGUGAAGAAGCAAAGAUCAAAAAGAAAGACGAGAAGACCCUGUCGAGCUUUAGUUUCAAGAUGAACCUCUACUAUCAUCCCAGGACUUUGGUUGGGGCAACCAUGGAGAAAAAGAAUCCUCCAGACCGAAUAGAAGAAUACACCUCUCUAUUAAACAUUUAGAGAACCAGAAACUGGUAAUCGGAAAAAGUUACCGCAGGGAUAACAGCGUCAUCUCCUCUAAGAGUCCUUAUUGACGAGGAGGUUUGCGACCUCGAUGUUGGAUUAGGGCAUCCUUUGGGUGCAGAAGCUCUAAACGGUUAGACUGUUCGUCUAUUAAAGCCCUACAUGAUCUGAGUUCAGACCGACGCAAGUCAGGUCAGCUUCUAUCUUCUUCUUCAAGUCUUCCUAGUACGAAAGGACCGGAAAUCCCCUUUAAAUGGAUACCUCCAAAAAGGAAAAAAGGAAUAAAAAAAUUUUCACGAAAACUCCACAAAGCCAGAAACAAGAUCUUUA
rnacentral:rRNA from 1 species